CGCGCAGGCGGCCAGGUCAGUCGAAUGUGAAAGCCCCCGGCUCAACUGGGGAAGGUCGUUCGAUACUGCCUGGCUCGAAGAUAGGAGAGGGAAGUGGAAUUUCAGGUGUAGUGGUGGAAUGCGUAGAUAUCUGAAGGAACACCAGUGGCGAAGGCGACUUUCUGGCCUAUUCUUGACGCUGAGGCGCGAAAGCUAGGGGAGCGAACG
rnacentral:rRNA from 1 species